rnacentral:rRNA from 1 species
AACGAACGCUGGCGGCACGCUUAACACAUGCAAGUCGAACGGAGUCUAUUGGUUCGCCAAUAGACUGAGUGGCGCACGGGUGAGUAAUGUAUAGGAACCUACCCUUAAGUACGGAAUAACUUUGGGAAACGAAAGCUAAUACCGUAUAGUCCCUUCGGGGUAAAGAUUUAUCGCUUAAGGAUGGGCCUAUAUUAGAUUAGGUAGUUGGUGAGGUAAGAGCUCACCAAGCCGACGAUCUAUAGCUGGUUUGAGAGAAUGAUCAGCCACACUGGAACUGAGACACGGUCCAGACUCCUACGGGAGGCAGCAGUGGGGAAUAUUGGACAAUGGGGGCAACCCUGAUCCAGCGAUGCCGCGUGAAGGAUGAAGGCCCUAGGGUUGUAAACUUCUUUUAUCAGGGAAGAUAAUGACGGUACCUGAAGAAUAAGCUCCGGCUAACUCCG